GACGAACGCUGGCGGCACGCUUAGCACAUGCAAGUCGAACGAGAGAAGAGAAGCUUGCUUUUCUGAUCUAGUGGCGGACGGGUGAGUAACACGUGAGCAAUCUGCCUUUCAGAGGGGGAUACCGAUUGGAAACGAUCGUUAAUACCGCAUAACAUAAUUGAACCGCAUGAUUUGAUUAUCAAAGAUUUAUCGCUGAAAGAUGAGCUCGCGUCUGAUUAGCUAGUUGGUAAGGUAACGGCUUACCAAGGCGACGAUCAGUAGCCGGACUGAGAGGUUGAUCGGCCACAUUGGGACUGAGACACGGCCCAGACUCCUACGGGAGGCAGCAGUGGGGAAUAUUGCACAAUGGAGGAAACUCUGAUGCAGCGAUGCCGCGUGAGGGAAGAAGGUUUUAGGAUUGUAAACCUCUGUCUUCAGGGACGAAAAAAGACGGUACCUGAGGAGGAAGCUCCGGCUAACUACGUG
rnacentral:rRNA from 1 species